rnacentral:rRNA from 1 species
GAUGAACGCUGGCGGCGUGCCUAAUACAUGCAAGUCGAGCGAACGGACGAGAAGCUUGCUUCUCUGAUGUUAGCGGCGGACGGGUGAGUAACACGUGGAUAACCUACCUAUAAGACUGGGAUAACUUCGGGAAACCGGAGCUAAUACCGGAUAAUAUUUUGAACCGCAUGGUUCAAAAGUGAAAGACGGUCUUGCUGUCACCUAUAGAUGGAUCCGCGCUGCAUUAGCUAGUUGGUAAGGUAACGGCUUACCAAGGCAACGAUGCAUAGCCGACCUGAGAGGGUGAUCGGCCACACUGGAACUGAGACACGGUCCAGACUCCUACGGGAGGCAGCAGUAGGGAAUCUUCCGCAAUGGGCGAAAGCCUGACGGAGCAACGCCGCGUGAGUGAUGAAGGUCUUCGGAUCGUAAAACUCUGUUAUUAGGGAAGAACAUAUGUGUAAGUAACUGUGCACAUCUUGACGGUACCUAAUCAGAAAGCCACGGCUAACUACGUGCCAGCAGCCGCGGUAAUACGUAGGUGGCAAGCGUUAUCCGGAAUUAUUGGGCGUAAAGCGCGCGUAGGCGGUUUUUUAAGUCUGAUGUGAAAGCCCACGGCUCAACCGUGGAGGGUCAUUGGAAACUGGAAAACUUGAGUGCAGAAGAGGAAAGUGGAAUUCCAUGUGUAGCGGUGAAAUGCGCAGAGAUAUGGAGGAACACCAGUGGCGAAGGCGACUUUCUGGUCUGUAACUGACGCUGAUGUGCGAAAGCGUGGGGAUCAAACAGGAUUAGAUACCCUGGUAGUCCACGCCGUAAACGAUGAGUGCUAAGUGUUAGGGGGUUUCCGCCCCUUAGUGCUGCAGCUAACGCAUUAAGCACUCCGCCUGGGGAGUACGACCGCAAGGUUGAAACUCAAAGGAAUUGACGGGGACCCGCACAAGCGGUGGAGCAUGUGGUUUAAUUCGAAGCAACGCGAAGAACCUUACCAAAUCUUGACAUCCUUUGACAACUCUAGAGAUAGAGCCUUCCCCUUCGGGGGGGGCAAAGUGACAGGUGGUGCAUGGUUGUCGUCAGCUCGUGUCGUGAGAUGUUGGGUUAAGUCCCGCAACGAGCGCAACCCUUAAGCUUAGUUGCCAUCAUUAAGUUGGGCACUCUAAGUUGACUGCCGGUGACAAACCGGAGGAAGGUGGGGAUGACGUCAAAUCAUCAUGCCCCUUAUGAUUUGGGCUACACACGUGCUACAAUGGACAAUACAAAGGGCAGCGAAACCGCGAGGUCAAGCAAAUCCCAUAAAGUUGUUCUCAGUUCGGAUUGUAGUCUGCAACUCGACUACAUGAAGCUGGAAUUGCUAGUAAUCGUAGAUCAGCAUGCUACGGUGAAUACGUUCCCGGGUCU